rnacentral:rRNA from 1 species
UAGGGAAUCUUCCGCAAUGGACGAAAGUCUGACGGAGCAACGCCGCGUGAGUGAAGAAGGUUUUCGGAUCGUAAAACUCUGUUGUUGGAGAAGAACAAGUAGGAGAGUAACUGCUCUUACCUUGACGGUACCCAACCAGAAAGCCACGGCUAACUACGUGCCAGCAGCCGCGGUAAUACGUAGGUGGCAAGCGUUGUCCGGAUUUAUUGGGCGUAAAGCGAGCGCAGGCGGUUCCUUAAGUCUGAUGUGAAAGCCCACGGCUCAACCGUGGAAGGUCAUUGGAAACUGGGGAACUUGAAUGCAGAAGAGGAGAGUGGAAUUCCAUGUGUAGCGGUGAAAUGCGUAGAUAUAUGGAGGAACACCAGUGGCGAAGGCGACUCUCUGGUCUGUAAUUGACGCUGAGGCUCGAAAGCGUGGGGAGCAAACAGG